CUUCUACUGCUGUCCUUUUUCGCAUUAGUUAGAACUGUCUCUUCUGAAGAGCCAAAAGAAUCCUUACUGCACACAUCUCUUUUGCAGCAAACUGUUUCAGCUACUAUAUAAUCUGACAACCUUAUUGCACACAUCUCUUUUGCAGGUUGUUCUUCACCUGACAGGUAAAAGGUCUAAAGCAUCCUUUGCAUAUUGUGUGCAAAUCUUCUUUUCAUAUGUUACUGAUUGUUUCAAAUAUUCUGGUAGCAUCUUUAUGUUAGGCAAAGGACCAACGGUUAUAGGAUUCUUUUGUUGUAUGAUGUUUUCCAUCACGAUAUGCAUACCAUUCAAUUAUUUCCAUAAAACAUGCCAAUUUAAUAUUUCCACAAUUGGAUGACACGAUUUUCAAAAAUUGAUGUGUUUAUGGUACAUUCUAGGAGGACUAAAUAGUAAUUUUUUGACUCAAUUGUAUGGUUGAAGUAAGGUAAAAUGAUUGCAAACUGCAUAUGAUUUUAGAACUUAAAUUUACCUAUAUGUUAGUCCAAGUAAAACUCCUGCGACAAUGCUUGCAUACAUUGCCCCACCAGACCCAAUUAUUUGCCUAGCUACUUAAUCCUAUACUGAACUAUUAAUGAGGGAACUCAUGAACAUAAGGCUGCUUCACUGCUCCAAAUAAAGCUCCUACAAAAUGUAGAAGCUGUCCCGCUUCUUUGUGUUUGAAUCUCUUCAGUCGAGUACUGUUGUAUAAUUAGGAUAAACAGGACACAUCCAUCUAAACUGAGCUUUAUCCUAAUUAUAAUUUCAGAGCUAAUUUUUUUGGUUCUCAUUGAUUUGAAUGGCAACCAGGACAAUGUACAUGGCAGCAGUUUUGGGGAGCAUGUGAGUUCACGUCGAUGAUAAUCAAGGUGAGUACUGAUAUGUAAUGUCUAAAGCUUUUGUAUUUAGAAUAAAAUGUUAUAGUCACCUGCAUGAAAACCUCUUGCUGUGAAAUGCCUAUACAAUCCUUUUUGUAUGUUGCAUGGGAACCAUACAAGAUUUGUGCUUAGACACACAUAGAACUUUUGGGAUCAGUGAUAGGCUGUUCGAAUGAUUAGUUCACCAUAAGGAUUUUUGUUAGUUUCAUUAGUCUAUGCUAUUACUGUGUAAGACAUGUUCCAAAAAGCAUAAAUCUUACCACUGAAUUAGGUCUAUUUAGUUGCUGCAUUGCUACAAAGAAAUUAUGAUCAAGCACUGCAAUUUUAUUCUGUGCAAUUACUCAUCUAGAAUACAUUUAAUUGAUGUUAUUGAAUUGCCAAAACUUACCUUCAUUAUCUUUUUCUGUUUAAAUUCUGAAUGUAAUUGCAGGUACACUUUGUGUGGUACAUAUUUUAGCUUCAAUGAAAUUUAGAGAGAAAUGCAGCUUUCAUAUUUUCUUUCUUAUCUGCACUUCUUACCUAGCGAUGAUAUCAAAUCAUUAACUCUGCGAGGACUUAUAUUUGGUAAGGUAUGUGUAUACCUAUAUGCACUGACAAAAAUAGAUGUUUACUUGAGCCCAUCAUUUAUAUGGUAUAUAUGCAGCUUCUCAUCUUAUUCCGACUUCUGCUGCUCUAAAUUCUAUAUGCAACUUCGGUCUCAUCUUUUUCUGACUCUUGAUGCUCUAAAUUCUACAUAGAUUGCUAAUGGGCAUGGAGGGUAUCAUGAGAUUUAUCCAAGUUUCUUACCAAGGGGCAUCACCCUAUUUUGAAUCUGCAAUGCUGCAAACAAAAGCUACAGGGAAUCAAUCUUAGAAGAAAUUCAGAUAAUCAUCUUUUCUCAACUUUGCUACUGCAAUAGGCGAUGAUAGCUCUACCUUCAUAUACAUUGGCUCAUACUGAGCAACUAAGGCCCUACACACGCAUGGAGCCAAUACAAUCUUUUGCUUUCUAUGGGUACAUUAUCACUUACUAUUUGUAAAUAUUGUUGUUUCCACCUUUCAAGAGACAUUGGAUCCAUACCUAUUUUCUUCGUUUUGGUAGAAGAAAUAUCGAUGCCCUCCCACGGUACAGCUCUCUGCAAUAGCUCUUCGGGUUGAUUCCUACAUUUUACAAUUUAUGAUAUGGCCAGGGCACUUUAAAGCCAUUUUUAAUUUGAUGCAACCCCUAGCAAUGCACUUACAAAUGUAGUGCAAUGC
rnacentral:lncRNA from 1 species